rnacentral:pre_miRNA from 1 species
UCUUAUGAAUGUGUAAAGAAAGUGGUUUCUUGAGAGUGGAAUCUACUCCUGAUGAAGAUUCUGUGAA